AAACCAACAGGGAUUGCCCCAGUAACGGCGAGUGAAGCGGCAACAGCUCAAAUUUGAAAUCUGGUCCCCAGGGCCCGAGUUGUAAUUUGUAGAGGACGCUUUUGGCGAGGCGCCUUCCGAGUUCCCUGGAACGGGACGCCACAGAGGGUGAGAGCCCCGUCUGGUCGGAUGCCAAGCCUAUGUAAAGCUCCUUCGACGAGUCGAGUAGUUUGGGAAUGCUGCUCAAAAUGGGAGGUAUAUGUCUUCUAAAGCUAAAUACCGGCCAGAGACCGAUAGCGCACAAGUAGAGUGAUCGAAAGAUGAAAAGCACUUUGAAAAGAGGGUUAAAAAGUACGUGAAAUUGUUGAAAGGGAAGCGCCUAUGACCAGACUUGGGCCCGGUGAAUCAUCCAGCGUUCUCGCUGGUGCACUUUGCCGGGCACAGGCCAGCAUCAGUUUGGCGCGGGGGAUAAAGGCUUCGGGAAUGUGGCUCCCCUCGGGGAGUGUUAUAGCCCGUUGUGUAAUACCCUGCGCCGGACUGAGGUACGCGCUCCGCAAGGAUGCUGGCGUAAUGGUCAUCAGCGAC
rnacentral:rRNA from 1 species